rnacentral:rRNA from 1 species
AUGCAGCGCAGCAACUUGCGUUGGCGGCAACGGCAUGCAAGAGGGAGGGAGGGAGAAACAAACGUGCAGCACAACCGAAUUGCUUGCUUGGCCCGCGCGCUCCGCCUGACCAUUCUUCAUUCUCGCCAUGGUAGGUUACUGCUCUACUAUUGUUUGCUUGCUUUCCCUCUCCAACAGCUGAGCUGGUACGGCACCGGGCGCACGAAAUGGAAAGCUUUGUGGGAGCCAUUUGGCAUCUUGCUAGGAGCAGAUUCUUUCUUUGACACUUCGCAUGCCACCAUUGCAUGCUUGCUUGGGACUGCUAACCACGAUCUGUUUGCUUGCCCACAAACAGCAAACGCCUUGAAAGAAAAAAAAAGCUCAAAAGAUAAAAGCAUCACACGGAUGUAUGAGUGA